rnacentral:rRNA from 1 species
UUCGCAAUGCCCGAAAGGGUGACGAAGCGACGCCGCGUGUGGGAAGAAGGCCUUCGGGUUGUAAACCACUGUUGGGAGUUAGGAAGUGUGGAGGUGUUAAUAGCGCUUUCACUUGACUAAAGCUCCAGAGGAAGCCACGGCUAACUCUGUGCCAGCAGCCGCGGUAAUACAGAGGCGGCAGGCGUUGUUCGGAAUUAUUGGGCGUAAAGAGCACGUAGGCGGCUCUGCAAGUCAGCUGUGAAAGCCUUCUGCUUAACGGAAGAACGGCAGUUGAAACUACAGGGCUUGAGUGCGGGAGGGGAGAGUGGAACUUCUGGUGGAGCGGUGAAAUGCGUAGAUAUCAGAAGGAACGCCGGCGGCGAAAGCGGCUCUCUGGUCCGUAACUGACGCUGAGUGUGCGAAAGCUAGGGGAGCAAACGGGAUUAGAUACCCCGGUAGUCCUAGUCGUAAACGAUGGGCACUAAGUAGAGGGGUUUU